rnacentral:rRNA from 1 species
GGCUAAGCAUAUCAAUAAGCGGAGGAAAAGAAACCAACAGGGAUUGCCUUAGUAACGGCGAGUGAAGCGGCAACAGCUCAAAUUUGAAAUCUGGCCCUCGGGUCCGAAUUGUAAUUUGUAGAGGAUGAUUUUGGUGCGGUAUCUUCCGAGUUCCUUGGAACAGGACGCCUUAGAGGGUGAGAGCCCCGUACGGUUGAAUGCCUAGCCUCUGUAAAUCUCCUUCGACGAGUCGAGUAGUUUGGGAAUGCUGCUCUAAAUGGGAGGUAAAUUUCUUCUAAAGCUAAAUAUUGGCCAGAGACCGAUAGCGCACAAGUAGAGUGAUCGAAAGAUGAAAAGCACUUUGAAAAGAGGGUUAAAUAGCACGUGAAAUUGUUGAAAGGGAAGGAUUUGUGACCAGACUUUUUCUGGGCGGAUCAUCCGGGGUUCUCUCCGGUGCACUUUGCCCAGUAAAGGCCAGCAUCGAUUUUCGGCGGCGGAUAAAAGCAGUGGGAAUGUGGCUCCCUACGGGGAGUGUUAUAGCCCAUUGUAUAAUACGCUGCUGGGGAUCGAGGUACGCGCUUCUGCAAGGAUGCUGGCGUAAUGGUUAUCAAUCACCCGUCUUGAAACACGGACCAAGGAGUCGAACAUUUAUGCGAGUGUUUGGGUGUUAAACCCUCACGCGUAAUGAAAGUGAACGGAGGUGAGAGCCCGUACGGGUGCAUCAUCGACCGAUCCUGAAGUUUUCGGAUGGAUUUGAGUAAGAGCAUAACUGUUCGGACCCGAAAGAUGGUGAACUAUGCGUGGAUAGGGUGAAGCCAGAGGAAACUCUGGUGGAGGCUCGCAGCGGUUCUGACGUGCAAAUCGAUCGUCAAAUCUGCGCAUGGGGGCGAAAGACUAAUCGAACCAUCUAGUAGCUGGUUACCGCCG